AGAACGAACGCUGGCGGCAUGCCUAAUACAUGCAAGUCGAACGAACUCUUCGGAGUUAGUGGCGCACGGGUGCGUAACGCGUGGGAAUCUGCCCCUUGGUUCGGAAUAACAGUUGGAAACGACUGCUAAUACCGGAUGAUGACGAAAGUCCAAAGAUUUAUCGCCAAGGGAUGAGCCCGCGUAGGAUUAGCUAGUUGGUGAGGUAAAGGCUCACCAAGGCAACGAUCCUUAGCUGGUCUGAGAGGAUGAUCAGCCACACUGGGACUGAGACACGGGCCCAGACUCCUACGGGAGGCAGCAGUAGGGAAUACUGGACAAGUGGGCGAAAGCCUGAUCCAGCAAUGCCGCGUGAGUGAUGAAGGCGUUAGGGUUGCAAAGCUCGUUUACCCGAGAUGAUAAUGAC
rnacentral:rRNA from 1 species